GGACUCUCAAUGUUCUCAACUCAUGUGCUAAAUCCCCAUCACUCAAACGUGUUGUUUUAACUUCUUCUAUUGCUGCUGUUGCUUAUAAUGGGAAGCCUCGAACUCCUGAUGUUGUUGUUGAUGAGACUUGGUUUACAGAUGCUGAUUUCUGUGCUAAAUCAAAUGUAUAUGGGUAGAUGGAAUAUGACAUUUUAUUAUCAAUUAUCUUUUUUAUUUUUUGUUACAAUGUCAGCAAAGUGUGUGUCAUGAUUAAUCAUGUAAUGAAUUAUGCUAUCAUGUUCUUUGACUUCUUCCUAUUUCCUAUUCAUUGUUUCAGCUGUGGUAUGUGGUUUCAAAGACAUUGGCUGAAGAAGCUGCCUGGAAAUUUGUUAAAGAAAACAACAUCGAUAUGGUUACUAUUAACCCAGCAAUGGUCAUAGGGCCUCUCUUGCAACCAGUCCUAAACACAAGUGCUGCUGCAAUUCUAAACCUGAUUAAUGGUAAUUAAUUACAAUUCUAAAUGCAGCAAAUACUCUUAUUAUCUUUCUCUGUCGGCAUCUUGCAUAUUAUUUUUCUUGUCAGCUACCUUUCUGCAUCUAUUUUUUUUUUUUUUUUUUUUUUUUUGGGGGGACCGAGGUUUGAACCCCGGACUUUGCAUAUAUUAUGUAUUGUCCUACCAACUGAGAUAAGCUCAUGAGGGCACCUUUUCUGCAUCUAGCAAUAUGGAAAGAAAGAUAUAAAAAUAAUUUGAAAGCUACUAAAAGUAGGGUUAGAUAAGUACAAGAUAUGUGCAUUAUAAUCGUAAAAACUAUUGCUGAUCUGGAUGAUAUGAGUCUAUUUCCUUUUAUUUCUGGCUUUUUGUUGAUAGUUGUUUAAUUGUAAUCGUAGCAGUUAUUGUUGAGCUGGAUGAGAGUCUAUUUCCUGUUAUUUCUAGCUUCAUUGUUGUUUAAUCUUUUAUUUAUUUUCAUUUCAUAUAUGACAUUGAUUUUUCCCUCAAUUGCUUCAUCGUUGCUUAUUGUGUUCUCUUUUGUUGUUAUUUUAAUGAAUAUUAGCAGUUUUUAUGUACUUCAAAUAUGUUUGUGUUCAAGAGGACAAGAUUUUGUCCUUCUGUAGAUAAUAGAAGCUCUUUCACUUCCUUGAUACAGGUGCACAGACAUUUCCAAAUGCUAGUUUUGGAUGGGUCAAUGUGAAAGAUGUUGCAAAUGCCCAUAUUCUGGCGUACGAGAAUGCUUCAGCGAGUGGAAGACAUUGUUUAGUUGAGAGAGUAGCACACUACUCCGAAGUUGUGAGGAUUUUACGUGAACUGUACCCUUCGUUGCAACUCCCAGAGAAGUAAGAUUAAUAAUUUCGAUAACUGAAUGAUAGCAUAUAAUUUAUGUUCCUAUAUGAAUGUUAAUUCUCAUCUGAUGUGCCACAUUCAUUAAAGCUUUAUUUACUUGUUUGAAACUCAAUUCAAUGCUAAAAUGAAAGGAUUCAGUCAUCGCUAAAUGCCGAAAAAUUUCAACAAGUUAGAGGUCUUUGAAUGAUUUAGAAUAAAUGCCUUGCUUUACAUAACAAGAUUGUAAAGGUUUAUAUACAAGAGAGAAUAUCUCAAAAUAAGGGAAAGUAAAAAAUUAGGGAAAGUAUAUUAAUGGUAAUAAACAAAGAGAUGAAUUCUAAUUGUGACUGUAAUCACCUUCUAGUGGGAGCAUAUAUAUUCUAUGCAUCCAACUUGGUCUGUAUAAUCAAUCUGACAUCCCCAUAGAGGUUUGGUGAAUGCAACUUCAUAUCUAUUUGUCCCCUAGUUGAUAUGUUCUCUAUCAGACUAUCAUAUAGUUAAAGUAAGGGUACCAAGUGUUUGUGGAUGAAUUGAUUCAUUUGAGUUGUUUUCUAUGUGCUUGCUUGUGACCGAGCACAUUGAUGUGGAUGAAUUGGGAUGUUGCUUUAUGUUACCUGAUGACCUUCUCCUCAGACUUGAUCACCUUUCGAUUUAUAGCUCAUGUUAAUUAGCUUUACUUCAGUAUAACUUUUAUUAUUUCUGUACCUUUUAACACAUAUUCAGCCUCUGGACCCCAGUACGUAACACAUGGUUUCACUGAGGUUUUGCUAAUUUCUUUUUCAAUAAUAUAACACCUUCUAUCAUAUUGGGUAACUUGAAUGUCAUGAUGACUUGCACCUUCCUCUAUUUUUGUGUCUUCUGUAGAUUAAUUGUUAUGCAAAAUUGCUAAUUUGUACUGAAUUUUUCAUUUUGGGAUUCAUUGCUGAAUUAAGUGUUUUUAAAAUACGGCCAAGUAUAGCAACUUUAAAUAUGCAAAGUCCUAGAAAUUUUGUUUUAUACUCGAAAUUCAUAGGUUAAUGGUUACUAUAAGAUGAGCCCUACAUGAUUCAUCAUUCUGUCCGUUUCUGUAUUUACAUUUAUAUAAUAAUUUAAAUAUUUCUAGUUUAAUCUGUUUAGAUUUUUCUAAUAUCGUUUUCACUUUGUCAACUAUGUUACCAGGUGUGCGGACGAUAAGCCAUAUGUGCCUAUAUAUCAGGUUUCCAAAGAAAAGGCGAAAAGCUUGGGACUUGAAUAUACUCCUUUGGAAGUGAGCAUCAAGGAGACUGUUGAAAGUUUGAAAGAAAAGAAGUUCGCCAACCUUUAAUUUGUGGUAUCUCCUUGUUUAGUUGAUGACAUGGCUUUUGAUGCCUAUGCUUGUGAAAAAACUCAGUAUGUGAAAUAAGGUUUAAAUUAGAUCUAGAUUGGUACUAAGCACUGAAAUAAGUCAUUCUUCAUGGUUUGGUUUGUACUCGUGAUGGAACAGUGAAUGAGUUAAGGUAAUCUGUGUUUUGGUUAUUAUUUUAGGGUUCCCCUUUUCAGAAUUGCUAGAAAGAGCUCUCUAGCGAGCGCACAACGAGGAAACACCACGUGACCAAGGUUGAGUCAUAAUGUUCAAAACCCUUCUCCAAGAUAUGCUUCGCUUGUGAAAGGGAAAAAGAAAGUGGAACAGGCUUCCACUUUGUUUUAGUUCCUAAUAACUUGGAAAAACUCAAAAAAAAAAAAAAAAAAGGAUUUCUGGAAAACUAUCCUUAAUGUCCAGUACCUCGAGGUUGAAUAGAGAAACUCUAGUGACCUCUUGGAAGAUGGGCUGUUCUCUCAAAAACUAUUCAUACCCUCUCCAUCCUAAAUUAAUUAACUAACUAUUUGCAAAAAGAAAAAAUGUCUCAAAAUAACGAAUAUUUUCAAUUUUUAAUGCAACAUUAACUAUUUAUAGUUUAAAUUGUGGAAUUGAUGUCCCAAAAUAACUUAUCUUUUCAAACAAGGAAAAUUUAAAGCAAGGUUGAUUGCUAAAGACUACAAAAGAAAGUAUGGAGUUGAAUAUGAAGCUUAUCCAGGUCACAAAUUUCUCUAAGACGAAAUAUAUUUUACCAGGUUGUUGUGUUCUCGAGGCACCGUUAUAUAAACAUUCUUUUACUCCCAAAUUAUAAGUUGUUUUGGAGAAAAAAAUAUGUCAUAAAUUAUUAUAAGUCGUUUUAUGAUAGAUUCACGUAUGGAGAUUAUCAGAAUUCUAGGUUAUGCCAAGGAAAAGAAAACAAAACAAAAUAACAUAAAGAAGAAUAAUAAAACGGCAGAAUAUUUUCUAUCUCCUCAAGGGGAAACAAUGCCUCUAUAAAUAGGCAGGGUCUUUAGACCUAAUACAGAUAAUGGGCUUUGACCCAACAAGAAAUACAAGAGGAUAAGAUAAAAGGCCCAACACCACAUUGGCUUGAUAAUUGCUCUUUGGUGCCUCCUUAAAUUUAAUGUGCUAUCAUUUUACAAUACCAAUUAAGUGAUAUUUUUCUUACUACACCAUCAACUAUUUAUUACCUUUUUUUUCUUCCCUUUUGUAAAAUUUGUUUUUCCCAUACAAUAUUAACUACAAUUGUUAAUUUGUGUGAAAUGAUCACAAUGAAAAACGCGGGCCAAUCACUUACAACAUUGGUGAUUUUGUCAAAGUAAAGUGUUUUCCCACAUAGACAACUCUUGUUGAUGCUCCUUACAACAAGCUUUCUAAACAAUUUUAUGGUCUUUACAAGAUGGGUGCAUUUCACAUGGGAAAGUCUAAAAUCUUCCUACCAUAGGAAAGUUUAUCUUUGCCAUUAGAUUAAAUAUGAACAUAGUUUUUACUAUGGUAAGUCCACACUAUAUCAUCCACUACCAUUCUCUCUCCUACACUCACCACCACAACCGUAUUCCUUUCCUUCAUCUCUCCAUCUUGGUCUUCAUUUUCAAUUCAUAAAAGAACACAAAAAUCACAACUCAUGAAUUUGGGUAAAAUUGUUUAUCCAACAACUUCAUAUUCUCCCUUUCAUCAUUUCUCUCCCAUUCAUCUAAAACUCUGAUAUAGAAUUUGAGAUCUGGAACUAUUACCUUAAUUUUGGUAAUAAUAGAUCUAGUAUGCCUAACCAAUUUCAUUUUAUCAACAAAAACGUGCUAUUAAUCAAAAUAACAGAAUACUGGUGAGCUACAAUCAGAAGGAAUCUAUGAAACCCAUAUAAAUGGAGAAACUAUCAUGCUACAAAAACAAACCUAAACAGAGGAUUAGGUUCUUUAAUUAGAUUGAAGCUAGAAUAUUGUUUUUAAUUGUGAGUUCCAUAAACACCAUGGUUUUUCAAUUGCAACACAUGGAGAUUGUUUUUGAAUUGUUCUUUAAUUUUAAUUUUUUUGUUUCUUUUUAUUUUUCAAGAUUUUUUAAGAACAAAUGAUGAAGAUGGAAAUGUACUUGUUGUAGUUUCAUGGAGGUUGAAGAUAUUAAGUUGAAGAGAAUGAGGUUAAAGUAAUAGGUGGUGGUAGGUGAGUUGCAGGUUUACAAAAUUAUGUGAUGGGGAGAAAUAUAGGAAAGAAUAAAAUGAAGAACGGAGGAGAAAGAACACUGGUGUGGAAGUGUGUAAAAAAAUUUAGUGUGGAGAGAGUAUUGUAAAAGUGUGUUCUUGAUUUGAUCUAAAGGUCAAUAUAAACUUUCCCAUCGUGGGAAAGUUUUAGGCUCUCCCAUAUGAACAUCCACCUUACAAGAUUCUGGAGCAAUUUGGUCAUGUGGCAUUCAAACUGAAAUUUGACGAAGUUAGAUCAUUCACUUAACCCCACCUGACUGAGGAUACCAAAUGGGAGAAUUGUGACACUUGAGGACACAAAGAAGCAGGGGCGGAGCCAUGUUGGCUCUUGUGCAAGCAAGUGCCCCCACUAAUUUUGAAAUUUUCAUAUCCAUCCUAUAUAAUACUACAUCAUAGAUACACAUAGUAUUAUAAAUAUGAUGAUAGAGUAUGAUAACUAGAUUGCAUAUUAUAAAUAAUACAUGCACCUCUUCUCUAUGUUGUUUCUUUUUUUUAGCUUCAUUUUUCGGUAACAUUACUUCUAGGUGCUACUAAUUUACACCCACCUAAAUCACUAAGGUGUAAAUUAGCAAGCUACACCCACCUAAAAAUACUAAGGUGUAAGUUAGCAACCUACACCCACUUGAUUAUCUACACUCAUUUUUAUAAAUUUUAUCAAAUUAUUUACAACCAUCUUACUAAUUUACACUGAUCACUUUCAUCUCAUUCUAAAUAUUGUUUCCUUAAAAGUUUGUCUCUAUUACAUGUUUUAUACCUUAAGUAUGUCAUUGUUUUUUUGUUUCUUUUUUUAAGGAUCUUACUUAAGAUAGUUAAGAAAUUGUGUAAUUUACAUAUUAGUGUAUUUAGGUGGGUGUAAAUUAGCAGUCCCCAAUAUUAUAUACCUAUAUAUGAUUUAUUUAUUAUUUGAAAUAAUAAUAACAAUUAUAAUACUUCUUUCUUUCUAAAAGAAAAUGUUCUUGUCAAUAUAUUUUUGUAACACUUAUUUUAUUCCAUUUUUAUUUUAGAAAUUUAUAUGUAAAUAUUGCCCCUACUACUUUAAAUCUCUGGCUUCGCCCCGGCAAAGAAGGCUUGUUUCACAUUAAGAAAUGAUGUUCUUUUACGCUAUUGAGAAAUAGAAAAGUAGAAACGUGUUAUUGGAUGAGAUGCAGGAGUUGGUUGUCCAUGUCCAAAUGAUAUAAGGAAAAAGUAAUCAGGUGCAUUUGAAGAAAUGAAGAUAUGGACAUACAUACCUACCUUUGUUAGUUUUCUAAUCUCUCUCUUUUGUGUUCAACUCGCUAAACUAAAUUAAACUUUAACUGUAAUGAAGGGUUUAAGAGUUAGAGAAGAGGGUUAACCUGUUUUUUUGCAGUUUACUACAAUCGCUUCAUUUGUUUUCUGCCUUUCAAAUACAGCCCACAUCGGGUACCGCUUAAAUCAAAGUAAACCGCUCAGGCUAUAUUACACGAACUUCUUUUUUAUCAUUUCAUUGAGCUUUGUUGCAAUGCACACAUAACAUUUUCAAUAAAUAGGAGAAUGUUAACGGGUGCUAUAAAAAUAUCUAAAUUUUUUUUUUUUGAGUUUAAAAGUGGAAUAGUGGAUAGAAGACUCAAUUGAAAUUUUUAUCUCUUUAUUUUAAUUUUGGUUUGAAUGUAUUGUAGCAUUCCCUUUUUACUAAAUGACAUCCCAUCUUUGGUGCUAUGUCACAUGUUGUACUUGCAUAAAAGUACAAUAAGGAUUCUAGGGUUAAGAAUCGUAUAUUAGGGUUUUUAGACUGAUUAUUAGAUACUUGAGAGUGUUCUCAAGGAUGGUAUUUAUAGUCUUCCAUGGGCUUGGGUUUUGGUUGCUUAGUCUCCAAGUAAUAGGGGUAUUUAUGUAUUUAGGGCGGUUUCUAGAAGAUUCUAGAGAUCAUUAUGGCGGCGCUAUGGGUAGAGCGCGCCUUGGGCCUCAUGGCUCUUUUCAAGGGUGCUAAGGCCUUCUUGAGAGGUCUAAGAAGCCCUUUUGGAGGUCUUUAAGUCCUUAGGAAUAUUAUGACGGUCCACAGCCCCCAAGCACAAAUCUUGGUACAAGGCGUGGUGCUUUUAAAGCUGAAGAGUUCUUAAUAAUAGAUUCAGGCAAGUUCUGAGGAUCCAGGAAGGCGACGCCCUUAAGGAGAACGCGCCUAAACCCAACAAUCCUUUUUGGAGAACCUUUAAGUCCCUUCGUAAGGCGUUUAGGACCUUCCCGAGGGUCUCUAAGCUUUGAAGAAUAUAAUGACGGUCCACAGCCCCCAAGCACAAGUCUUGGUACAAGGCGUGGUGCUUUUAAAGCUGAAGAGUUCUUAUGAAUUUUUGCCUUUCGGCGAGACGUUUUCUAAUUAUGAGGGCGAGAAGUUUUCUAAUUAUGAUGCCUUUUUCAUCUAACGGUUCACAUAUCGCGACCUUUGUUGUUCUGAUGGCGUGUCAUUAUCUCGCUCGAUUCCUCACACGUGUCUACGAUCUGCUGUAUCUGCGCUUUUUCCGAGAAAUCAAAGUUUCUUUCCCUUUAAAAGAGACGGAAACCCCUUCCCUUCCCAUUUCAUUUCGUCGUUUCCGUUUCCUCGCGAAGAAAAAACUCUUUUUUCCGCCUUUGAUUGUUCGUUUGCAAAAACUCAGGUAAUUUGCUCGUUCCUUUCCUCUUUUAUAUUUUUUGUAUACCCAUGGUAGUAGUUAGGGAGUGUGAUGAGAGGGGGAGAGAACUACCUCCUUCAGAUCCUUUAGAUAGGCAAAAACUGAGAUUACAAUGUUUGAAGCAUGCCACUCGAAAAAAUGGUUUAAUCGAUUGGAAAGUGUAUGAUUCUACUUAUUUUAGUCAUAUGAAUUUCUCCGAUAUAUCUAGCGAGAGUGACUGUAGCGAAUCUGAUGAUAGUGAUUGUGUUUUAUUAUAUUCAACCUCAGGAGAUAAUUUUGGAAAAGAAAUCGUCGAUAUCUCCUCUUUGAAUAUGGUUCGUGGAAAGAGUGUCCAGCUUGCAUGUCAGGAAUCCGACACCGAAUGUUUUUCAGAUGACGUGCAACGGUAUGAGUCCGCGUAUAACGAUCAGGCGAAGGUAAACUUUUUUAGGAGUAAGCUCUCAGUUUCGUCCACUAAAAGAGAGGAAGAUAUUGUCUUGGCGCCUUGCCCUGCCGGCGAGAAAGUGUGCACUAUGCGCCCCAAGGGAGUAAAGGAGAUUUUUCAUAUGUAUGGCGCCGUAUUGGAGGAGUUCGGGGUAAAAAUCCCUUUUACCCUGUUCGAAAUGGACAUUCUACGCUUGCUUAAUGUUGCCCCUACUCAGAUUCAUCCUAACAGCUGGGCGUUCAUUCGUGGUUUCGAGAUUCUUUGCGACGCUUUAGAUAUGAUUCCCUUUGCCGGAGUCUUUUUCCACUUUUACGGAACGAAAGGAGUGGAUAAAGGUUCCUGGGUACCCAUUAGUGCACAUCCUGGGAAACAGCUCUUUCCUCCCUUUGCUUCUAAUUUUAAAAGGGAUUGGACAAAGAGAUUUUGAGAGUCCAAGGAUCAAAAGAUUCCUCAGUGAGUGUUGCUAGUGUUGCGGGCGAGGUUAGGUUUCCCUUAGGAUGGACCGCUAAUCCUUUGGCUGUCUCAGGCUAUAACUAUAAAAAAAAAAGACUCCUUAUGAACAAGGUGUAGUUGGCUUUUUAGAUCGGAUGCUUCACACGGACAUCCGAAAACUUUUAAACAAAGAAGGGGAUUCGGAGGACCUUGAAUUAUACCUUCGUGAGUUUUGACGAUUUACACUUCUUUCCCUUAUUUUAUGUUUUUACAUUUCUCUAACUGACAUGAUUUAUCUUUCCUGCUGUACAGUGCCAAUGCUGCCUUUAUCUGAGAAAGAAAGGAGGAAGUACCUCGAAGCCCUUAAAGAAAAACACGCAUCCAGAGAACACAUUGCAAGCGAUCCUACUGGCGUGAUCCUCCGCAAGGGGACGAAGAAACGAGAGCUUGUUGCUAAUGCUGAAUCUGCCGGAGGCGAUGUGGAAAGCGCCCAGGAGAAAGUCAUUGAAGGCGAGAUAACAGUAGGCGAGGUGAAUGAUCUGACUCACUCGCCCCCUCCGAAGAAAACCAAAAUAGGGAAGAAAGCAGGCGGGAAGACGCUGAUGGUAGAGGCGGAUGCUGCUUUUGAAGUCUCAUUCUGGCAUCGAGACUUCAAUUACCGCCAUUAUAUGGAAAAUCACGUUCCUUUUUCAGCAGUAGAUAAAGAUGCUGCUUUCCAUGGUAAAUUUGACGAAUUGGUGCAAGACGCGGGGACCAGCGCUCUUCGAACCCUGCUGUAUAUUCAAUCCAUGGAAAAGAAGCAUGAAGCUCUGGAAAAGGAGUAUCAAGAUUCCGUAAAGGAUGUGGAGAAGUUUAAACAUAAAGCUUCAGCUUUCGAAGAGAGGGUGGAAGGACUCUUGAAGGAUAAAGCCGCGCUUGAAAAGGCGGCCGCUGAUGCGGAAAAAGAAAAAACUGACUGGCAAGCGGAGAAGAGUAACCUUGAAACUCAAAAUGCCAAACUGAAAGGCGACCUGAACAAAUCUUAGGCUGAGGUUGAAGAUGGUAAGAUGGCUCUGGCCGGAUUUUUUGAAGACGGUUUCCAAAGAGCAAAAUCACAAGUUGCUCAUUUCUAUCCAGACCUGGAUUUGUCAGGUCUUGACUCACUGAAGUUUGUUCAGGAUGGCGAGCUAAUAGAAGAGCCUUGAAUGUUUUUGGCGGUGUUUAAAUUUUUUGGAUCGCCUAUUUGUUUUGGCGUUUUUUGUUUAUUUUUGGGCGCUUUGUAAUGCCUGUUUCCGUAGGCGAAAACUUAUCUAUUCUGAUGAAUUAACUUAUGCUUUUAAUUUAUAAUAGUUUCUUGGAAACAAUCCUUUCUUUAUAGAAUCCAUCAUCAGAGGAAUAUCAAUGAGUUAGUGAAUCUUAAAUUUCACGAGCAACUUGUUCAGAAUAUAAAUAUUGCUUAUAAUCAUCGGUUUUUCGCAUUUAAUCAAUGCUUAAUAAUUCCUUGUUAUUAAUAAUGAUGCUUGAAAACGUUCUUUUUAGUUUUCGUAACUGAUCAAUGCUAAUAAUUUCCCGAAGAGCCUUUAAUAAGGUUGAUGGCGCUCUCUCGGAUUUUUUUACCGGGUCACCUAGUGCAGAGUCUUUAAUAAGGUUGAUGGCGCUCUAAACAAAGAUCACACAUUUUUUAAGAAGUUGGGGUGCCUCGUUAAAAACCCUGCCCUUGCAGGGAAAAAGAGUGCUCCCCCAAUCCUUUCAUUCAUUUUAUUGAAGGAAAAAACAUAAAGUAGUCUACAUAUGCUAAAAGAAAAGAAAAAAUAAAACUUAGCGUUCAACUAUAAUAAUGACGCAAGUUGACUGCAUUCCAAGUUCUUGGUACCGUAGUUCCAUUCAAUUCUUCCAAUUUGUAAGCACCAUGCUGAAGUUUUUCCUUAACUCGGUAUGGUCCCUCCCAACUCGGCAACAGCUUCCCAAUUCUGGUUGGGGCGACACCUUGCUUCAAAACAAGGUCGCCUUCUUUCAUACUUCGAGGAAUGACUUUUGAAUUAUAUCGCCGGGCGGCCCUUUGUUUGGCAGCAAACUCUCAGAUGUGUGCAGAUUCUCGUAUUUCGUCAAUCAUAUCCAUUGUACACUGAAUUCCUACCUCGUUGGCUUCCUCAUUGAAAUUUUCUCGUCGCCAUGUUGGGGUAUCAAUCUCCACCGGAAGCAUUGCAUCAGCUCCGUAAACCAUAGUAAAUGGUGUUUCUCCGGUAGUAGAAUGUGGUGUUGUGUGAUAUGACCAUAAAACCUGUACUUAUGAAUUUUUCAAACAGAAAACCUUUAUCUUUGGUCCAUUCAUUAGUCGAGAAUAAGAAAUUGAAAACUUUUUUUUUUUUUUUGGUAAAGAUAUUUGUUUGAAACAAAAAACACCUAAGUUUUACCUCAUAAAGCUGCUCUGCCCAGAGUCCUUUGGCUGCCUCAAGCUUCUUUUUUAUACCAUUCAGAAUUACUUUGUUGGCGGCUUCUGGCUGUCCAUUUGCUUGAGGGUGAGUUACUGAUACGAACUUUGUUUCAAUUCCCAAUUGUUUGCAGAAGUCGACGACUCUUGAACUGGCGAACUGAGUCCCAUUAUCUGUUACGAUGUUCCGAGGAAGUCCGAAACGACAAAUGAUUUUCUUCCAGUAGAAUUUUAUUACUCGUUCUGCUGUUAUUUUAGAUACCGCUUCUGCUUCAACCCAUUUUGUGAAGUAAUCUACUCGACGAUGAGGAAUUUCAACUGUCAUGGGGCUGGGGGAAAAGGUCCCACAAUGUCAACCCCUGACUUGUGAAACGGCCAAGGAGAAAAUACAGAAGUCAAUUCAUUAGCCGGGGCGGUUUUCUUAUCAGAAAAUCGUUGGCAUUUGUCACAUUUUUUAACAAAUUCGCAACAAUCUUGGGUCAUCCUAGGCCAAUAAUAACCUGCUCGCAAAAGCUUAGCUACAAGAGAUCGCCCGCUGAUAUGACUUCCACAUACUCCUUCGUGUACCUCUAAAAGAACCAGCUUUGUCUCUUCUUCUCCCAGACAUCUCAAUAAAGGCGUGACUGUCCCUCGUUUGUAGAGUUUCCCCGCCACAAUGGUAAACUUAGCGGCUCUCUUUCUAACUAACUGCUUUUCUUCCUCGCUCACGGGAUCAAAAGAGCCCGUCAGAUAUUUCAAGAUUGGCGCCAUCCACCCUUCUGUCUCUUGAGUCGUGGAGAGAACUUCCUUUGCUUCACAAUUUGGCGCAGAUACCACUUCUUGAAUCACUGUUCGAUUAUUGCCUGGUCGCUUAGUGCUGGCUAGUUUUGCCAGCAAAUCUGCUCGCACAUUUUGUUCUCUAGGUACAUAGAUGACCUCGAAGAAGUUAAAAAACGCAGCUAAAUUCCGCACGCUUGAGAGAUAUUUAGAAAGCUGCGAAUCCUUAGUUUGAUAUUCUCCGGAGAUUUGAUUGGUCAUCAACUGAGAAUCACUCCGAUCUGAGGUUUUCUACACCCAUCUCUCGAGCUAGAGUCAUUCCAGCUAUUAAAGCCUCAUAUUCUGCUUGAUUGUUACUGGCCUUGAAUUCAAACCUUAACGAUUGUUCGAUGAGUAGAUCGCCAGGUCCUUCUAGGAUGAUACCCGCCCCGCUUCCCUUCAAGUUUGACGAUCCAUCCACUGAUAAUGUCCAAACGAAAGGGGUGGUAGUCUGGAUGGGGGAAGCAAAUUCAACCAUAAAAUCAGCUAGUACCUGAGAUUUGAUGCUGUUUCGGGGAGCGAAUAGGAUGUCAUACUCUGAAAGCUCAACUGCCCAGGAUACCAUUCUUCCCGCCAAAUCCGGCUUGCUGAGAAUCUGUUUUAUUGGGUAAUUGGUUCUGACGAUUACUCUGUGGCUUUGAAAAUAAAGGCGUAACUUCCUGGCGGUUGCUACCACUGCCAACGCUAGCUUUUCAAUCUUCUGGUACCGCAAUUCCGCUCCUUUGAAGACUCUGCUGACGAAAUAUACUGGUUUCUCCUUCUCUUCUGAGUUCUCGACGAGGACGGAGCUCAGAGCGUUCUCUGAAACUGAAAGGUAUAGAGACAAGACCGCCCCCCGUGUUGGGCGAUGAAGAAUAGGUGGCGUGGUGAGAAAAAUCUUGAUUUUCUGAAAAGCUUCGUCACAUUCCGGAGUCCAUUCAAAUUUUUCCUUUUUCUUUAUUGUGGCAAAGAAAGAGAAAGCUUUGUCCCCUGUGCAAGAAAGGAAUCUGGAUAGUGCUGUCAAUCUUCCCGUUAACUGUUGAACUUCUUUAACGUUGCAUGGACUUCUCAUGUUGAUGAUGGCUUGACAUUUAUCCGGGUUAGCUUCAAUACCCUCACUGGUUAACAAAAAACCCAGAAAUUUUCCGCAUGUACUCCAAACGUGCAUUUAGCGGGGUUAAGGCGCAUGUUUGCCUUUCGCACUUGCUGAAAAAUUUCUUUUAAGUCUUCUGAGUGUUGACCUUCGGCCGAUGUCUUUACCACGAGAUCGUCCACAUAUACCUCCAGGUUCCUUCCAAUCUGAGCGCUAAAAAUAGUAUCCAUGGAGCGUUGAAAAGUUGCUCCAGCAUUUCGCAAACCAAAUGACAUUACCUCAUAGUGAUAAUUUUUCUGAUUUGUCAUGAACACAAUUUUAGGGGCGUCCAAAAGAUCCAUUUUCAUUUGGUUGUAGUCGGAAUAGGCGUCCAUAAAACUCAGGGUUUUGUACCCGGCGGCGUUAUCUAUCAGGUGAUCAAUAUUUGGUAAGGGGUAGGGAUCUUUAGGACACGCCAUAUUCAAAUCUGUGUAAUCCACGCACAUUCUCCACUUUCCUGAAGACUUUUUCACUAGAACAGUAUUUGCGAGCCACGUAGGAUAUUUGAUCUCGCUGAUGAAACGUGCUUCCUUUAACUUUCUUACUUCCUCAUCUACUGCCUUUCGCUUUUCCUCGCCCAUCUUCCGCUUCUUCUGUACUACCGGUUUCACUGAAGGGUUAAUUGCCAGAUGAUGACAAGCUACUUUAAUAUCAAUUCCGGGCAUAUCAGAAGGAGACCACGCAAAAAGGUCGGCAUUUUCUUGUAAAAGUUGAAUCAAGUUUUUCUCUUCAGCUCUUUCGAGUGAGGUUCCGAUCUUAAUGGUCUGGUUAGGACCUGUCCCAAUCAUGAUAUCUUUCAAAUCUUCGACAGGUUCUAUCCGCUCCUGCUGGUAAUCUUCCCGUGGAUCAAGGUCAAUGAGAUUUACACCGAGUAUUUCACUGCUUUUCACGUUGAGUUUGAGGCUGGCGUGAUAAUAUUCUCGUGCAAUCUUCUAAUCGCCCCUUACUAUCCCAACUCGCCCAUUGUCCAGGGGAUAUUUCAUCAUCAAGUGUUUAGUGGAGACGAAGGCGUCUAAGAGAUUGAUGGAAGGACGCCCAAUGAUAGCGUUGUAUGAGCUAGGCGCGUUGAACACUAAAUAUCUGAUCUUGAUGGAUUUUUGUUGAUCUCUUGUGCCGAAAGUGGUUUUUAGAGUGACAUAACCACGAACGUGUACCCUAUCUCCUGUGAAACCUGACAGGGUUCCCUUGAAAGGUUGAAGCUGUUCUUCGCUUAAACCCAUCUUGCUGAAAGCGUCAUAAUAAAGAACAUUUGCAGAACUACCGGUAUCCACAAGCACCCUUUUGAUUUCCCAGUUAAGAAGUUGGAAAGAAACAACCAAAGGAUCAUCAUCAUGAGGGAUUACCUGUCUGAAAUCCUCCUGAGAAAAAGAAAUAGUUGAGAUUUUUUCUGAAGCAUCACUUGGCGAGCAUACUUCUUUCGUGACUUACCAGACUCCCCGCCUCCGACGAAACCACCUGAGAUGGUAUGAAGCGUAUGUUUGGGCUCUGCAGCGGGUUUAUCAAGGGUUGCCUCCGGCCGACGCCUAUCUUCGUUGUUUUUGGUAUAUCCUCUUAAUUUCCCGCUCUGAAUAAGCUUCUCAAUUUCCCUCUUCAAGUGAAUGCACUCAUCCGUGUCGUGGCCUAGUACCUGAUGAUACUUACACCAAGCAUCUUUGUUGAGACCCAUGUACUUGACGCGGGGUUCCGCAGCUGGCGGGAUUAUUCUUGACUCGAGAACCUCCCUGAGAAUUUUCUCAGGGCGGGUGUUCAGGGGGAUGAAGUGAUCAUGCGAAUAUCGAUGAGGACCCCUAUCGUGAGGCUUUUUGAAGGUCCCCCUAUCCCUGUUAGGUGGAAAAUAAGGAUUCCUCCGCUCUGCUCCUGAGUUUCCUUUUUCUUUGGCAUCCCUAGCUCUUUUCUCUGCAUUAGACUCCUCUCCUUUCACAUAGCAUUCGGCCCGAGCAAUUAUUUCUUCCAUUGAAUCAGCGGGUUUCUGCGCUAGCGACUCAUUAAAUUGCCCGGCGCGUAAACCAUUCUGAAAAGCUCCAACGAAAACUUCCUGAUUGGGAUUAGAAACCUUGAUUGUUGAAUCGUUGAAACGGGCAAGAUACUCUCUCAGCGAUUCGUUCUGGCCCUGUCGAACGUUGAACAAGCUAGUUGACAAUACUUUACGAUGGCGACUUCCAGAGAAUUGUUGGGUGAACUUCUUUAUCAUAUCCUGAUAACCAACAACAGAAAAGCGAGGAAGGCUCAUGUACCAGCGUAAAGCUGCAUCAGCAAAAGUGCCCGCCAACAAUUUGCACUUAAGGGAGUCAGCAACUCCGUACACGGACAUUCUGGUGUUGAAAACAGUUACAUGUUCAGAUGGAUCUCCUCUCCUGUCGAAAGUGGGCAAGUGUGGCGGUUUGAAGUUAUCCGGAACAAGAGCGUUCCAUAUUUCAGUUGAGAACGGCUGGGGUUCCGGUUCAUCCAUCUCGCCGUGAUGAGAGUCUGCCUUCUCUUGUUGCUGCUGUUGCUGAAUGGUUUCCACUGAAGCGAGCAGGGCUUCGUUCUGUUCCAGCAACUGGGCGAUCUGACUCUUCAUCGUUUCUCCUUCUUCUGGUGUUGCCAUAUCAGUCUUUCUCUAAAUCGUACGUGAGGUGCGAUUUAGGUUUGAGUAAGGGUUAGGGUUCCGAAUCGCAGAGAGGACUACGACUCAGUGUUUCUCUGUAUCGAGCUUUCGAUCCAAAGAAUCGUGGUCAAGGUUAGUUUUACCUCUUCCUACAGACGGCGCCAACUGUACUUGCAUAAAAGUACAAUAAGGAUUCUAGGGUUAAGAAUCGUAUAUUAGGGUUUUUAGACUGAUUAUUAGAUACUUGAGAGUGUUCUCAAGGAUGGUAUUUAUAGCCUUCCAUGGGCUUGGGUUUUGGUUGCUUAGUCUCCAAGUAAUAGGGGUAUUUAUGUAUUUAGGGCGGUUUCUAGAGAUCAUUAUGGCGGUGCUAUGGGUAGAGCGCGCCUUGGGCCUCAUGGCUCUUUUCAAGGGUGCUAAGGCUUUCUUGAGAGGUCUAAGAAGCCCUUUUGGAGGUCUUUAAGUCCUUAGGAAUAUUAUGACGGUCCACAUGUAUAAUAAUUAAUAUAUAUAUAUAUAUAUAUAUAUAUAUAUAUAUAUAUAUAUAUAUAUAUAUAUAUAUAUAUAUAUAUAUGGCAUUUCAAAUGAGAGGACUUUUAAAAUAAGAGGGUGGGAGGAGUAAAUAACAGUCCUUAGAUCAAAUUAAUGGAUCAGAUUAAAUUAAUUUUAAAGUGUGCUGCCAUAUCUCAAUCAUCUCUCUUUCCGCCGUAUGACCUUUGGUUUCUCAGAGUUGUCUUCUCUUCCAUUUUGAGUUUUGACAGAACCAUCACAGAUCCAACCCAACCCACAUCAUUUAAGCCGAUUUCUACCCUUUCUGGAGAUAUGUUGCUUUCAAGGGCUAUCAAUAUUCCUUCAAGGUUGUGUUGUGACCCAUUACAAACUAUACCUUUACAUUUGGGGCAAUUGUUUUAAUUAUCUGCAACACACUGAAAUUCACGAUCACAACAAAUAUAUGAUUCAAUAUGACCAAGCCACCCACAAUUAGUUAGAGUAGAAUCAAAGUACGUGAAGCAUAUAAAGAAUCAAUUUUUAAAAUUUUAUCUCCAUUUUAGCAUUUUAUACAUAUAAUUUUAUUUUUAAUUACGUUUUUCUCAUAUGUAUGAAUUUAUCCAGUGAUGAUAAUAAAAUGGGAGGGUGUUUGGAUGACAAGAUUGAGAGAGGCACAUGGUAAUUCAAGGCAUAAUCACUGAAUUGAUACAAACAAGAAGAAAAGAGGAACGAAGAAAAAGAGUGAGAGAAGAGAGAAACAAUGCGGAAUAAAGAAGAGAGAUGAUGAGAUAUGGCAACACAUUUUAAAAUUAAUUUAAUCUGAUUCAUUAAUUUGAUCUAAGAGCUGUUAUUUACUCCUCUCACCCUCUCAUUUGAAAUGCCCUAUAUAUAUAUAUAUAUAUAUAUAUAUUUUGACACAAGACUUUCUUCAAUUUAUAUGGCACGUUUCCUAAGGGUCCGUUUGUUUCAAUUGAUCAGAUGAGAGUGGAUGGAUUUUAGUGGAUGGGAGGGAAAUGAAGUAUUUUGAUUAAAAACAUGUUUGGUUCAUAAGGAGGAGAGAUUUUAAAAUUAUUUUACUUUUUUACCCUUAAAAUUUAAGGAUAAUUUUGUCAAUGUAAUAAUGAUAUUAAUUGCACAUCUUCCCUCUCCUCCAAAAAAAAUACUCCAAUUUGAGGGGAAACAAUAAAUGAGUCUAUGAGAAAUUUUGCUCCCCUCCUCUUCCUUCCUCUCCCCUUCUAAAAAUUGAACCAAACAUGUCAAAUUAAAAAUAUUCCUUCCACUCCCUUCCCCUCCCCACAAAAAAAAAAAAAACAUGAACCAAACAAAUCACAAGGCUCUGUUUGGGGGUUUGGAGGGGAAUAGAGGGUUUUAGAGGAUGAGAUUAAAGAAAAAAAAUAGAUAAAUCUUUCAAAAAUGGUGAGAGUGGUUUUGUAGAGAAUGAUAAAUAAAUACUUAUGAUUAAUGCAUUUUUAACUUUGAAAGUAUUAUAGCAACAUAGAUUGGAUUGAAAAACUUACCUAAAACCCUUCAAACUCCUCGUCCAAUACAAUUUUUCUUUUAGUUCCCAAAAUUAGAGAGAUGUGUUAUUGUUUGUUAGAUUGUAUGAGUUCAGUUAUAUUGGAUCCUUCUAAAGCAUCCACAAUGGUGAUAUUCAUUUUUUGAUACUUAAGAUGAUCUCGUGUGUAUACAUGACUCAUUAAUACUCCAUCCGGUCACUAUUGUAAACAAAAAUUCACUUUUUAGAUUCAUUGAAUAAAUGAUGUAUGUGAACCAUAUAUAGACCACAUACAUAAUGUAUUGAAUGAACCUAAAAAGUCAACUUUUGCUUAUAAAAGUGACCGGAGGAAAUAAUUUUUUAAUAAUAGUACUUCCUUCAAAAAAAAUAAAAUAAUAGUACUUAAUAAACAUUUAAUGUUUCCCACCUUUUAAAAAAAAUUAAAUAGAUCUCAUCAAUAAUUACAUAUUACUACAUUUCAACGUUCCCCAAAUUAUAGAAAUCUUUCCGCUUUAUAUGUAUCAUGUGUUAUUAUUAUUAUUUUUGACAAAAAUAAACAAUAUUCAUUCAUUCAAAUUGAUAGAGUACAUUGAUACAAUACAAAUCAAAGUCACUAAGAACAAAAAGGAUGAAUCUCCGAACAAACUCACAUCAUCCAUGUUAAUAGCAUAAAACGACAAAGUACCUAUGCCUACAAAUAUGACUAUAUAAUUGAAGUUUCCGGAAUACUCAUGUCUCCGAAUCUGCAACGUUGACGACACAAAAGUCAUUGAUCGGAUUUGCACUUGCUCAAAGCUAAUCUUUCAACCUGAAUCAAAUAAACACGACACUAAGACGGGAAAUAAAAAACACAUCGCACAAAGACGGAAAAUCAAAAUAAACAGAGUCGUGCAGAGACGACAAAAUCACAAAAACAAACGAAAGAAAACUAAAAAUAUGUGAAAAUCACUUAUUUAAUUAGGGUAGAAUGAAAAACAACCCGAUGGGGGUGAUUUUGGAUCGAAAUUGACCCUAAAUCACCCCUCUUCGGUAGACAAAAAGAAGAGAGAGCUUACGGCUAGGGUUUGAGAAGGAGAAAAAGAGAGAAAGAGAUAGUAGAUUUUCUAUUGCUUUAACGUUUUGCAAAUAUGUGUUAUUUUUUGUUGGAUUGUAUGAGUUCACUUCCUUCUAAAGCAUCCACAAUGAAGAUAUCCAUUUUUUGAUACCUAAGAUGAUCUUAUGUGUAUACAUGACUCAUUAAUAAUUUUUUAAUAAUAGUACUUAAUAAACAUUUAAUGAUUCCCACCUUUAAAAAAAAUAAUUUAAAUUGAUCUCAUCAAUAAUUAUAUAUUACUACAUUUCAACGAUAAUUUAUUAUUGAUUAAAUCAUAAUUAUCUAUUUUAUUAUUAAAUUAUAAAUCGCGAAAUUAUUUGUACGACUUUUUUAACAAUUCAAAAAAAUAAUUAAAAUUAAUAUUGCCAAGUUCUAAUAAUUACAAAUUAUUUGAAAUGAUAAAUUAACGUUUGUUUGAUUAGUUUCUAUUUUAUGUGCCUAUGCAUGUCAUAGCAAGUGGGUCCCACAUGAUAGGUGACAAGAGAUAUUUUAAGGAAAAAUAAUGGUGGGUCCCGCAGAAAAGAGUGUACUACUUUGUUGGAGACCUUCAUCUCAAAAAGCACUAUGAAAUUUUCCCCCCUAAUAACUGAUCAGACAUGAACAGCAACGUUGUGUGUGUAACUGGAGCUUCAGGUUACAUAGCUUCAUGGCUCGUUCGUUACCUUCUCCAUCGUGGUUACACUGUUAAAGCCACCGUUCGCGACCCAAGUAAUUCAUUCUCUUCUCUUUUGAUCUUUAUAACACAAACACUUGUGAUCAAAGAUAUUUCUAGUGUCAGACACAGACACGUAUAAUUACACUUAAUUAAUUAAGUCAUUGUUUAAAGUUAAUGUGUAUGUGUCUAUGUUCGUGCUUCAUACGUUUUGACCCUAUGUUUGAUUUGAUUAUUAUGGCUGCCUGUAGGUGAUCCGAAGAAGAUCAACCACUUGGUUAAGCUUGAAGGUGCUAAGGAGAGAUUACAACUGUUUAAGGCAAAUCUACUUGAACAGGGAGCUUUUGAUUCUGCUGUUCAAGGCUGUCAUGGUGUGUUUCACACUGCAUCUCCCUUCUAUCAUCAUGUCAAAGACCCUCAGGCUGAGUUGAUUGAUCCUGCACUCAACGGGACUCUCAAUGUUCUCAAAUCAUGUGCCAAAUCGCCAUUACUCAAACGUGUUGUCUUAACCUCUUCUGCUGCUGCUGUUGCGUACAAUGAAAAGCCUCGAACUCCUGAUGUUGUUGUUGAUGAAACUUGGUUUACUGAUGCUGAUUUCUGUGCCAAAUUAAACGUAUCUCCCUAAACUUACAAAAUCACACAAUUUAAUCAUAAAGUACAUAAAAAUUUGUCAAUUUAGUCCAUAACAUCUUCAUUAGCAAGGACUAAAUUGUUUUUGAAGUUGGUGUUUCAAUCUUAAAUGUAUCUUCUUCAGCCAAUGCGCUAGUCCAUAAAAUUCUAAUGGUUUUGUUCCAAUGUCGGCAAAGUGUG
rnacentral:lncRNA from 1 species